AAGAGGACUUAUUUUUAAGACUUUUUUUAAUGCUAAGCAUAAGAAAGAUUAUAUGUAGGGUAAUUAAUGUCUAAUUGAGUUAGGCAAACUCUAAAAUGGCCUCCAAUAAUUCUCACUUCAAGACAUCCACAGCCUUGUGUUAUAUGUUCUGCCUGAGUAACUUGCCUCUAGCCAACAGAAUACAGCAAAAUUGAGGAGAUGUCACUUCUUGGAUUAGGUUACAAAAGAUGGUGUUUUCUGAAUUGCUAGUACACUUUCUCAAUUACCUUCUCAACUUGCAUGCUUUGAUAAAGCAAACUUCCCUAUGAGAGAGGCCAUUAUGGCACAGAAGUGCCAGCAGCCUCAGGCCAACAGCCAGCAGAGAAUAGAGGCCCUCAGUCCAAUAGUGUGUGGAGCAACAAAGUGCUGCGACAUUCACUGAGCAAGUUUGCAAAUGGUUUCCUCCCCAGUUAAGACCUGAGUGAGACCACAGAUCCUAAACCAGCAUCUUGAUUACAGUUUCCUGGGAGACAGUGAAGCAGAGGACCUAGCUACAGCAUAGCUGGAUUGUUGACCCAUAGAAACUGUAAUUCCAUGGAAGUGCUGAGGACAGGAGAGCCACGCUGGAGAGAAAGUUUGCUAAAGCACAGAAGAGGAUGCUAAGGAAACUUCUCCAGCUUUGCUGCCUGCUCUGAGCUCCGGAAGAAACUCCCAUAGCCAGUGCAGACGCUGAUACAAGAAGGGGCUCAAUUUUCAAAUAACAAGAGCCUUCGAAAGGUGGACAUAUGCUUUCUUUUACCAAAUCAUCCCCUCCAAAUUGAAUUAUCUUGUGAAUUUAUCAGACUAGUAAAGCCAACGUUAUAUCUCUGAAUCUUGAGUCCUAUAGAAGCUGAUAUUUUCAGUAUUUCUGAGUUUCAUCUCUUGGGAUGAUGGGACUUGUGAGGAUAAAAAAUUAUCCCAAUAUAACCAGAAUUAAAAAAAAUAAAUAAAAGCACAAAUUUAAAGAAAUGAGAACACAUGUUGC
rnacentral:lncRNA from 10 species